GAAAGUAGAUUGGAAAUUGGUCUGCAACAAUAACAUGAUAUCCGUUGGAACGGAGGUGACAGGGCAGCCAGGAACACCAUUACAUAUGCCCACGAACGUGAGCCUUUGAUCAUUUGAUUAUAGUCACAGUAACCAUGUCCACAGCAUCAUCCUACCGACUGAUAUUUGCCACCCAAAGCAAAACUUCUGGAGGAAAUGUCAGAGGCUCAGAGACGGCCCUCGGUUCUCACUCUUAAUGUUUGUUUCUAGGAAGCACCCCCUCUGACACCUGGAUGUCUCAUCUAUAUACAUAUAAAGAUCAGAAAAAAAAUAAUGAGCCAGUGUGAUGCUAUGAAUGUUUUAUACAUAAAGGAUUAAUACGUUAGAAGUUUGGUUCUAUGUGUGGCUGUGUGAAAGGGGGUAGAAGCUUGAAGGUGUGUGUCUGUUCCAUAGAUCGCUGGCAGAUUUGCCCUCAGAAAGGAUGAAGAGGUAUCUGUGGAACCCUUGCUUCCUCCAACUAGAAGGUUGUUACAUAAUGGCCACUCCCGCUCUUGGCUUCCUGUCUUGUCAUGUGGUCUUUGGACCAGAUAAGCAGAAGAAUAACCAGUACAGAGUCCAGAUUCCUACACCAGAGGCUGAGUCAAUGGAUCCACCCAAAUCGAUCCACCCUAUUCUCCAAAAUGACAGUUUGUACAUUUGGCCAACAAUGAGCUCAAAGAAAUCUUUUCUUUAUAACGUUUCCCGCUUCUGAUGUUUUGUUAUAGAAAGAGAAAUUGGACUAAUAUAAAGAUCAAAAGUAUUUAGAGAAGAAAGAGGUGACAAAUUGGAGGAUUAUGGAGCCGGUGGGAUUUAUUGUCAUAGGUUGGACUGAGACUCCAAAGAAGGCGAUGCCAGGAUAUCCGGUUGUUUGGACUGUAACUCACACUGUUCUUUUUUGAUACACUGUCAUUCUCUGUCUUGCUAUUAUGUCCCUUUGGCAUCUCAUGAUCCUAGGGACUUUAGGGAUGUAGGACAUGUGAUUCCCCUUAGCUAGACUCGGCACUGUGUUGUGAUUACCCGGGCCCUCAAAUGGUACUUACUGGACCUCAUGCCUUUCAUGACAUUUCAAAGCCCUCUAUUAGAAAUCUGAACAGCUCUCUCCAUUGGAUUAUAAAACCAUUGAAAUGAGUCAAUUUUCCCAGACUCAAUUACCUGCUAGUCCCUUUACCCAGGGGUUUAAUUGGAUCAGAGUCAUGGCUUUGAUAUUGAGUUUGUUCCAUCUUUUACGAGAGGCCUGGGAAUGACCUUUGUAUCUCCACGAAAACUCCUCAUGCACCUGAAGAUCCAAGGUGCCAUUAUUUGAGGAGUCCACUUUUAUUAAGUGCUGAGUAAGAUAUUAUGUCUCCGUCCUGGUUCUGUUUUCACUGCUGUGCUGAAACACUGACAAAAACCAACCCGGGGAAGAAAGGGGUUACUUUGUCUUACAGGUUACAAGACAUCAUUGAAGGAGGCCGAGGCAGGAGCCGGUGUGGAAACCAAGGGGGGAAUUCGGUUUACUUGCUUGCUUCUAA
rnacentral:lncRNA from 1 species